rnacentral:rRNA from 1 species
UACGUAGGGUGCGAGCGUUAAUCGGAAUUACUGGGCGUAAAGCGCACGUAGGCGGAUUUGUAAGUCAGGGGUGAAAUCCCGGGGCUCAACCUCGGAACUGCCUUUGAUACUGCAAAUCUCGAGUCCGAUAGAGGUGGGUGGAAUUCCUAGUGUAGAGGUGAAAUUCGUAGAUAUUAGGAAGAACACCGGUGGCGAAGGCGGCCCACUGGAUCGGUACUGACGCUGAGGUGCGAAAGCGUGGGGAGCAAACAGG